AAAGAGUUCAUUUAACCCAUAUUUAGUGAAUUGGAUUACUCAUAUUUCAAAUGGGUAAAUAUGGACUUCAACUCAUUUUAAAAGUUCAUACAAAUAUGGACAAAAUGGAUAAAAUAUGGGUACCCAUUUAAAUACAGAGAUCACCCACCUAUGCUUAAAGUUUCACUUUUUUUUCUUUUCUAGUUUCUUUUCUUCUUCUUUUUUUCUUUCUCUUUUC
rnacentral:lncRNA from 1 species